ACGUCUACGAGUUUGAUCCUGGCUCAGGAUGAACGCUAGCGGCAGGCCUAACACAUGCAAGUCGAGGGGUAGGGUUAGCUUGCUAACUUGAGACCGGCGCACGGGUGCGUAACGCGUAUGCAAUCUACCUUGUACAGAGGGAUAGCCCAGAGAAAUUUGGAUUAAUACCUCAUAGUAUCUUUACCUGGCAUCGGGUAAUUAUUAAAGUUCCAACGGUACAAGAUGAGCAUGCGUCCCAUUAGUUAGUUGGUAAGGUAACGGCUUACCAAGACAAUGAUGGGUAGGGGUCCUGAGAGGGAGAUCCCCCACACUGGUACUGAGACACGGACCAGACUCCUACGGGAGGCGGCAGUGAGGAAUAUUGGUCAAUGGACGCAAGUCUGAACCAGCCAUGCCGCGUGCAGGAAGACGGUCCUAUGGAUUGUAAACUGCUUUUAUACAGGAAGAAACAACUCUACGUGUAGAGUCUUGACGGUACUGUAGGAAUAAGGAUCGGCUAACUCCGUG
rnacentral:rRNA from 1 species